rnacentral:rRNA from 1 species
CGUGUAGGCGGCCUGAUAUGUCAGAUGUGAAAGCCCUGGGUUUAACCCAGGAAGUGCAUUUGAAACUGUCAGGCUCGAGUAGGGGAGAGGGAAGUGGAAUUCCUGGUGUAGAGGUGAAAUUCGUAGAUAUCAGGAGGAACACCGGUGGCGAAGGCGACUUCCUGGCCCUAUACUGACGCUGAGACGCGAGAGCGUGGGUAGCAAACA